rnacentral:rRNA from 1 species
CCCAUUCGGGUGGAUACUCCACGGGCGAACGGGGGGCGCCGAUGGCACAUCGCCAUGGCGGCGCCCGACCUCCCCACUCUCUGCGUACGAAUCCCUGUUGCUUCCCCGGGGAGGGACACACCACCCGGGGAAGGACCACCCCCCCAGAGCACACGAUGCGGACCAACACUCAUGUACACCCCCCUCUCCAAUCGUCUGACGGCCAGCGUGACGACGAGCACGCAGCGACCGACGAACUGAACGCAAACAGAAAAACUUUCAACAACGGAUCUCUUGGUUCCCGCAUCGAUGAAGAACGCAGCGAAAUGCGAUAAGUAAUGUGAAUUGCAGAAUUCAGUGAAUCAUCGAAUCUUUGAACGCACAUUGCGCCCCCUGGCAUUCCGGGGGGCAUGCCUGUUCGAGCGUGUCCGAGAAAGAGACUCACGCGGGAGAACGCGUGGUGGUGAAGGCGGCGGCGGGCCCGACAGGGCGGCCACCCCGGCGGAAUCGAUGGGCGGAAGCCGGCCGCGUCGCAGAGCGUGAUAUCUUGCUAUCGCCUCGUGCGCGGCAGAGGUUUCCAGCCAAGGCCCCCAUGCAGGGCGGGCAGAGCGUGACAUUGGAACUCCUCGA